GAUGAACGCUAGCGGCAGGCCUAACACAUGCAAGUCGAGGGGUAGAACACUUCGGUGUUUGAGACCGGCGCACGGGUGCGUAACGCGUAUGCAAUCUACCUUAUACAGGGGAAUAGCCCAGAGAAAUUUGGAUUAAUGCCCCAUAGCAUUACGACUUGGCAUCAAGAUGUAAUUAAAGUUCCAACGGUAUAAGAUGAGCAUGCGUCCCAUUAGUUAGUUGGGAAGGUAACGGCUUACCAAGACAAUGAUGGGUAGGGGUCCUGAGAGGGAGAUCCCCCACACUGGUACUGAGACACGGACCAGACUCCUACGGGAGGCAGCAGUGAGGAAUAUUGGUCAAUGGUCGCAAGACUGAACCAGCCAUGCCGCGUGCAGGAAGACGGUCCUAUGGAUUGUAAACUGCUUUUAUACAGGAAGAAACCCUCCUACGUGUGGGAGCUUGACGGUACUGUAGGAAUAAGGAUCGGCUAACUCCGUGCCAGCAGCCGCCGUAACAC
rnacentral:rRNA from 1 species